rnacentral:rRNA from 1 species
UACGGGGGGAGCAAGCGUUGUUCGGAUUUACUGGGCGUAAAGGGCGCGUAGGCGGUCAGCACAAGUCAGUUGUGAAAUCUCCGGGCUUAACUCGGAAAGGUCAACUGAUACUGUGCGACUAGAGUGCAGAAGGGGCAACUGGAAUUCUCGGUGUAGCGGUGAAAUGCGUAGAUAUCCGGAGGAACACCGAUGGCGAAGGCAGCUCUCUGGCCUGACACUGACGCUGAGGUGCGAAAGCGUGGGGAGCGAACAGG